UAACGAAUCUUCCGCAAUGGGCGAAAGCCUGACGGAGCAAUGCCGCGUGUGGGAUGAAGCAUCUAUGGUGUGUAAACCACUGUCAGGGGGCGGAAACAAUGAUUGCCCCCAGAGGAAGUGGCGACUAACUCUGUGCCAGCAGUCGCGGUAAUACAGAGGCCACAAGCGUUAAUCGGAAUCACUGGGCUUAAAGGGUGCGUAGGCGGAUUUGCAAGCGUCUUGUGAAAGCCCCCGGCUCAACCGGGGAACUGCAGGGCGAACUGCAAGUCUUGAGGCAGGUAGGGGCCGCGAGAACAGUAGGUGGAGCGGUGAAAUGCGUAGAUAUCUACUGGAAUGCCGAUGGGGAAGCCGCGCGGCUGGGCCUGACCUGACGCUGAGGCACGAAAGCGUGGGGAGCAAACA
rnacentral:rRNA from 1 species